rfam:Salmo salar isolate Sally breed double haploid chromosome ssa11, whole genome shotgun sequence.
UGCAUUCACUAGUGUAAAUCACUCUGGAUAAGAGCGUCUGCUAAAUGACUAAAA